UACGUAGGGUCCGAGCGUUGUCCGGAAUUAUUGGGCGUAAAGGGCUCGUAGGCGGUCUGUUGCGUCGGGAGUGAAAACUUACAGCUUAACUGUGAGCGUGCUUCCGAUACGGGCAGACUUGAGGUAUUCAGGGGAGAACGGAAUUCCUGGUGUAGCGGUGAAAUGCGCAGAUAUCAGGAGGAACACCGGUGGCGAAAGCGACUCUCUGGACGGCAACUGACGCUGAGGCACGAAAGCGUGGGGAGCAAACAGG
rnacentral:rRNA from 1 species